rnacentral:rRNA from 1 species
UGACGGUACCUGAGGAAUAAGCAUCGGCUAACUCCGUGCCAGCAGCCGCGGUAAUACGGAGGAUGCAAGCGUUAUCCGGAAUGAUUGGGCGUAAAGGGUCCGCAGGUGGCUAUGUAAGUCUGCUGUUAAAGAACCUAGCUUAACUAGGUAAAAGCAGUGGAAACUACAAGGCUAGAGUGCGUUCGGGGUAGAGGGAAUUCCUGGUGUAGCGGUGAAAUGCGUAGAUAUCAGGAAGAACACCAGUGGCGAAGGCGCUCUACUAGGCCGCAACUGACACUGAGGGACGAAAGCUAGGGGAGCGAAUGGGAUUAGAUACCCCAGUAGUCA